rnacentral:lncRNA from 1 species
AAAGAAAAAAAAAUAGAAAUGCACUUGCCGAGACUCAAGACUCUAACACUUGUAAAAUGCUCACAGAGAAUUGAGUUUAAAAGAGUCAAAAGUGAAUAAACCCCCAGAGUUAUGAGCUAAGCACGAAAAAAAAGAGAAAAUCAAACAACAUGAAUGCCGAGUUCAAAACCAUUUGUUAUCCAUUUAUGUGUCUAUCCUACCGUACCCAAG